rnacentral:rRNA from 1 species
AUUGAACGCUGGCGGCAGGCCUAACACAUGCAAGUCGAGCGGAGCGGCGGACGGGUAAGUAAUGCCUAGGACUCUGCCUGGUAGUGGGGGAUAACGUCCGGAACCGGGCGCUAAUACCGCAUACUAUUAGAUGAGCCUAGGUCGGAUUGGCUAGUUGGUGGGGUAAAGGCAUACCAAGGCGACGAUCCGUAACUGGUCUGAGAGGAUGAUCAGUCACACUGGAACUGAGACACGGUCCAGACUCCUACGGGAGGCAGCAGUGGGGAAUAUUGGACAAUGGGCGAAAGCCUGAUCCAGCCAUGCCGCGUGUGUGAAGAAGGGCUUCGGGUUGUAAAGCACUUUCAGCGGGGAGGCGUUACCCGCAGAAGAAGCACCGGCUAACUCCGUGCCAGCCGCCGCGGUAAUUC